GGUGAGGUGUCCGAGUGGCUGAAGGAGCACGCCUGGAAAGUGUGUAUACGCAAAAAUGUAUCGAGGGUUCGAAUCCCUCCCUCACCGCCA
rnacentral:tRNA from 1 species